rnacentral:ncRNA from 1 species
GAAUUUUUAUGGCAAACGGGUGGGAAACCCCCGGACGCAAAGCCGCGGACCCUUCCCCUGAUCGCUCAGGGCGGGUGGCCGGGUUGCCUGC